UCCUACGGGGCGCAGCAGUGGGGGAUAUUGCACAAUGGGGGAAACCCUGAUGCAGCGACGCCGCGUGGGUGAAGAAGCGCCUCGGCGCGUAAAGCCCUGUCAGCAGGGAAGAAAAUGACGGUACCUGAAGAAGAAGCCCCGGCUAACUACGUGCCAGCAGCCGCGGUAAUACGUAGGGGGCAAGCGUUAUCCGGAUUUACUGGGUGUAAAGGGGGCGCAGACGGCGAUGCAAGCCAGGAGUGAAAGCCCGUGGCUCAACCGCGGAACUGCUUUGGAAACUGUUAAGCUGGAGUACUGGAGAGGCG
rnacentral:rRNA from 1 species